rnacentral:rRNA from 1 species
GACGAACGCUGGCGGCGUGCCUAAUACAUGCAAGUAGAACGCUGAAGAGAGGAGCUUGCUCUUCUUGGAUUAGUUGCGGACGGGUGAGUAACGCGUAGGUAACCUGCCUUUUAGCGGGGGAUAACUAUUGGAAACGAUAGCUAAUACCGCAUAACAAUGGAUGACACAUGUCAUUUAUUUGAAAGGGGCACUUGUUCCACUACAAGAUGGACCUGCGUUUGAUUUGCCAGUAGGUUAGGUAAUGGCUCACCUAGGCGACGGUUCAUAGCCGGCCUGAGAGGGUGGACGGGCACACUGGGACUGGGACACGGCCCAGACUCCCACGGGAGGCAGCAGUAAGGGAUCCUCGGGAAUGGGGGGAAAGCUGAACGGGCAACGCCGGGUGAGUGAAGGAGGUUUUCGGAUCGUAAAGAUCUGUUGUAUGGCGAGAACGGGUGUGGGAGUGGAAUGUUCACACUGUGACGGUAGCUAAUCAGAAAGGGACGGCUAACUACGUG